ACGGAUAUCUCGGCUCACGCAUCGAUGAAGAACGUAGCAAAAUGCGAUACUUGGUGUGAAUUGCAGAAUCCCGUGAACCAUCGAGUUUUUGAACGCAAGUUGCGCCCGAAGCCUUUUGGCUGAGGGCACGUCUGCCUGGGCGUCACAC
rnacentral:rRNA from 1 species